AUUAACAAAUUUAUUUUCUAGUGAUUAAGUAAAAAAAGUUAUUGUAAUAUUUUGAAGAAACUUGAUAUUUAUUGCUGAGAAACAUUUGAUAUUUCAUUGUGAAGAAACUUAGUCAUCUUGUUGUGUAAAAACUUUUUUUUCUCAUAUGUAUGGAUCUCAAUGGAGCAAUUUCAUGGUUUCAAACUAAGAUUGGUACAUAUGAUAAAGCAAAUUGGGAAAUAACAGUAGAAAAGCACGAUGUUGAUGAGAUAUUAACUGAUUGCUUAAGUAAUGCAAAUUUGCCUAAGGAUUUGUUAGAUAUUGAUCUCAUUAGAGGUUCAACAUUUACAAAAGCAAAACCUUUCUAUCAUUGGACAUCAGUAACAAGUGCUGGUUUACUCAAAGUUAUAUUUUUUCCAUUAUAUUUUAGAUGGUGGCAACAGCAAACCUCUUUUAAAGUUUGGUUGUUUUUUUUAACACUUUACUUUUUGCAGCUAUUGUCAUUAGUAAUAUAUGUUACUCAUCAAACAGAAGAAGAAUUUAUUAAUAUUUCAUGGCCAGAAGCGUUUGUUCCACUUUUGGCAAUGGUUUUAUUAGGUGAAUUAUAUAUUCAUGUUGUAUCUACAAACUUCACAAAACCUGCUGGUCGAAAUAUUAAAAAGCAACGAAGUGGUGAAAUUAGUACUGAACCAAAAAAGCGUAAAAGAAGUUGUAGAAAGCGUCCAAAAAGAUUAGAUGAGAUCUCAGAAAGUCGUGAUGCUAGCACUGAACGAAUUCUUGUUCAUGAUCAAAAUGUUGAUCAAGUUAGUACAGAGAAUUUUCAAAUUUUAGCACAAUCUGAAACAGAUAUAAAUUUAAAUUUGGGUUUAAGGAAAAGAUUUUCUAAAAAUUCUGUCAAUGAAACAAAUAUAGAGGAAUCUUGUGAGCGAAAAAGAGAAGUUCAUAGUGUUGAUGAAACCACUUCUAAUCAAUCAGAAACUGAUUCUGACAGUACUAAUUCAUCAGAGUCAAUUAGUGAAAAUGAGGCUAAAGACUCAAGUACUCAAGCAAAUGUUGAAAAACAUAACUUACUGUUUUCAAACAGUGUUUAUGAUGCAGCAAAUAGCAACACACUAUUUAAUAUUAGACAUAUCAAUGAUCUUAUUACAGUCUCUAUUUGGGAUGGUAAUUCUUUUAAAAAAGCCAAAAUGAAUUUUUUUGAAAUAGGAAUGGCUGUGGUAAAAAAAGUUGAAUCUCGAAAAGAUAAGCGUUCCGAUUAUUUAACUUUUGCUAUUAUAUCAUCAUGCAUCAUUGGAAUGCUACCAUUAUUUUUUAGAAUUUAUCAAUUUCAUGUUGCAAAUAAAGAUCGCCAACUGCUUGAUACUUUGUCUCGGUUACUUGUUUCACUGAAAACUAUUGAUGGGAUAGUCACUAUUUGUAAGCAGCUAUUUGGACCAACUUGGAGGCCUCAACUAAUUGUAUUUAUUGCUAUGCUCUCAAGACUUACUUUAUCAUUUUCUACAUUCUUUUUACUUUGUGUUGCUGAGUCAGCAUAUAAAGUACGUUACAUUUAUGCCAAAUUAUUUGGAAUGAUCACAUCUACUAGAAGGUCUCGUAGAAAUCGUUUACCACACUUUAGGUUGUAUAAAGUAAAUAAUAUCAAGGCAUGGCUUUCUUUAAGAUCUUUUUUAAAGAAACGUGGACCUCAAAGAUCAGUUGACACUAUAGUAUCUACAUCUUUUUUAUCUGCAAUGUUGCUUGUUGUUUUGACUUGCAUUCAGUUUUUAUCCAUCAAUGUUAAAGAAGAUAGUUUUUUGAGUUAUUUUUUCAGCUGGGAGCUCACUGCAUGGAGUCUUGUACUUGGUGUAUUUUUGAUUCGCUUUAUUGCAUUGGGUUCAGAUAUCAACCGAAAAUAUAAGAACACGUCUAUACUUCUCACGGAGCAGAUUAUUGCGUUUGAUUCCCUACGCUGAGCGCCCCUGAUACGCUCGAGAUAAACUUGUAUCUUCAAAUGGAAAAAAAUCCAAAUAAGAAAGAGGAUUUGUUGAUUGCAAACAAUGUUCUUAAGCUGGCUUCAAAAUUACUAAAGGAACUUGAGGGGCCAUUCAAAGUCUCCGGUUUCAUCAUGAACCCAUUACUUUCAAAUAUUACACGUGUCAUGGUACUUUCACUAUUUUCUGGUGUUAUGUCAGAC
rnacentral:misc_RNA from 1 species